rnacentral:rRNA from 1 species
GACAGAGGUGCCGAGCGUUAUGCGGAAUCACUGGGCUUAAAGCGUGUGUAGGCGGACCGUUAAGUACCUUGUGAAAUCCCCCGGCUCAACCGGGGAACGGCUGGGUAUACUGGCGGUCUUGAGCCAUCCAGGGGCAGUCGGAACAGACGGUGGAGCGGUGAAAUGCGUAGAUAUCGUCUGGAACGCCGAAGGUGAAAACAGGUAGCUGGGGCUGUGCUGACACUGAGACACGAAAGCCAGGGGAGCAAACGGG